CGACUCUCGGCAACGGAUAUCUCGGCUCUCGCAUCGAUGAAGAACGUAGCGAAAUGCGAUACCUGGUGUGAAUUGCAGAAUCCCGUGAACCAUCGAGUCUUUGAACGCAAGUUGCGCCCGAGGCCAUCCGGCCGAGGGCACGCCUGCCUGGGCGUCACGCCAAAA
rnacentral:rRNA from 1 species